GGGGAUUUGGCUCAGUGGUAGAGUGCUUGCCUAGGAAGCACAAGGUCCUGGGUUCAGUCCCCAGCCCCA
rfam:Rattus norvegicus chromosome 3, whole genome shotgun sequence.